CAAUAGCGUAUAUUAAAGUUGUUGCGGUUAAAAAGCUCGUAGUUGGAUUUCUGUUGGGAACGACCGGUCCGCCCAUUGGGUGUGUAUCUGGCUUGUUCUCGGCAUCUUCUUGGUGAACGUUGCUGCACUUGACUGUGUGGAGCGCUACCCAGGACUUUUACUUUGAGGAAAUUAGAGUGUUUCAAGCAGGCAUAUGCCUUGAAUACAUUAGCAUGGAAUAAUAAGAUAGGACCUCGGUUCUAUUUUGUUGGUUUCUAGAGCUGAGGUAAUGAUUAAUAGGGAUAGUUGGGGGCAUUCGUAUUUAACUGUCAGAGGUGAAAUUCUUGGAUUUGUUGAAGACGGACUACUGCGAAAGCAUCUGCCAUGGAUGUUCUCAUUGA
rnacentral:rRNA from 1 species